CACCAGUGGAAAUUCACACAAUAAUGGAGGUUUUUUGGCUGCACAAAAUCAUCACACUGGCAAACACGUCCAGGGAUUCCAGUGUAAGCUAAUCCACUUUAUUUUCAUUUCAAGAAAGCAUAAGCAAUUAGUGUCCAUUAUAUGCGUAUAAUGACAAAAAAAUCAGAUUAUUUAUGGUGGUAGAUUUAUUCAGAAAGGCCUGAUGAAAAAGCAAUUGAAAUGAUACCUUUACAUAUUAUAUGAAGAAUAAAGUGCAUGAUAGUUUCCUGAUGUGCAUUCAGAAAAUAAAAAUUACAAUUUCGUUUCUUUGAAUUAUCUGUGUUUUAAGAUAAACGCAACUAGUUCAAACAAUUUUUCAGCCGGUUUCCAAGAUACGAUUUUCAGUUUCAUAGAUCAUGUUAUGAUUAAUCUAAAUAUUUUGGUGACCCAACAGAUAGUCUUCCCAUUCUUCAAGGAUCUGCUUAUGACCUCAACUUACCUCCCGGGGGAACAGCAGUUACAUUCACUAGCAAGACCAGUUGCCAAAUUGCUCCCAUGACACCAGAAAAAGGCACAAGAGUAGAAUGCAGGCAAGUAGCUCAACUGCAAUUUUUUUCCGCCGAUGAAAGAGCAAAUCAAGAAGGCAAUGAGCAGGAUGAUCAAGUUGCUAUGGUAUCAUUUGACAUUAACAGGCCACAAACAGAUAACGAACUCCAAAAGACAGAGAAGGAAGGAAGUCAUGUUAUUAACUUGAGCGAAACACCAGAGCAGAAACCUAGGAGGAAAAAGCACAGGCCUAAGGUGAUUACAGA
rnacentral:lncRNA from 1 species